GAUGAACGCUGGCGGCGUGCCUAAUACAUGCAAGUCGAGCGAACGGACGAGAAGCUUGCUUCUCUGAUGUUAGCGGCGGACGGGUGAGUAACACGUGGAUAACCUACCUAUAAGACUGGGAUAACUUCGGGAAACCGGAGCUAAUACCGGAUAAUAUUUUGAACCGCAUGGUUCAAAAGUGAAAGACGGUCUUGCUGUCACUUAUAGAUGGAUCCGCGCUGCAUUAGCUAGUUGGUAAGGUAACGGCUUACCAAGGCAACGAUGCAUAGCCGACCUGAGAGGGUGAUCGGCCACACUGGAACUGAGACACGGUCCAGACUCCUACGGGAGGCAGCAGUAGGGAAUCUUCCGCAAUGGGCGAAAGCCUGACGGAGCAACGCCGCGUGAGUGAUGGAGGUCCUCGGAUCGUAAAACUCUGUUAUUAGGGAAGAACAUAUGUGUAAGUAACUGUGCACAUCUUGACGGUACCUAAUCAGAAAGCCACGGCUAACUACGUG
rnacentral:rRNA from 1 species